rnacentral:tRNA from 1 species
AGGGGUGUCGCCAAGCGGUAAGGCAGCAGGUUUUGAUCCUGCCAUGCGUUGGUUCGAAUCCAGCCGCCCCUGCCA